AAACAUGGCUCUUUGAAACAAUUAAAUAUAAAGAGUCGUGCCUGCCCAGUGAAUUUUUUAACGGCCGCAGUACCCUGACUGUGCAAAGGUAGCAUAAUCAUUUGCUCUAUAAUUGAGGGCUAGAAUGAAAGGUCUGACAAGAACGAAACUGUCUCUAUUAAAUUACUCAUAACUUAAUAUUUAAGUGAAGAAGCUUAACUAAAAUUAAAAGACGAGAAGACCCCGUCGAGCUUAAAAGUAUUUAUAAAACUCCAAAACUUAUAACUUCUUUUUGGUUGGGGCGACCAAGGAAUCAACAAAUCUUCCUAAUUUAUUUAUCAAACUAUCAGACCCAGUACAACUGACUAAUAGAACAAGCUACCGCAGGGAUAACAGCAUAAUUUUCUUUAAGAGCCCUUAUCAAAAAGAAAUCUUGUGACCUCGAUGUUGGACUAAAAUCUCCUAAAUGAUGCAGAAGUCUUUUAUGGUUGGUCUGUUCGACCAUUAAAAUUUUACAUGAUCUGA
rnacentral:rRNA from 1 species